rnacentral:rRNA from 1 species
GACGAACGCUGGCGGCGUGCCUAAUACAUGCAAGUUGAGCGCUGAAGGUUGGUACUUGUACCAACUGGAUGAGCAGCGAACGGGUGAGUAACGCGUGGGGAAUCUGCCUUUGAGCGGGGGACAACAUUUGGAAACGAAUGCUAAUACCGCAUAAAAACUUUAAACACAAGUUUUAAGUUUGAAAGAUGCAAUUGCAUCACUCAAAGAUGAUCCCGCGUUGUAUCAGCUAGUUGGUGAGGUAAAGGCUCACCAAGGCGAUGAUACAUAGCCGACCUGAGAGGGUGAUCGGCCACAUUGGGACUGGGACACGGCCCAAACUCCUACGGGAGGCAGCAGUAGGGAAUCUUCGGCAAUGGACGAAAGUCUGACCGAGCAACGCCGCGUGAGUGAAGAAGGUUGUCGGAUCGUAAAACUCUGUUGGUAGAGAAGAACGUUGGUGAGAGUGGAAAGCUCAUCAAGUGACGGUAACUACACAGAAAGGGACGGCUAACUACGUG